rnacentral:rRNA from 1 species
GUCGAGAAUUUUUCACAAUGGGGGAAACCCUGAUGGAGCGACGCCGCGUGGAGGAUGAAGGCCCUCGGGUUGUAAACUCCUGUCAUGCGGGAACAAGAAAGUGAUAGUACCGCAAGAGGAAGAGACGGCUAACUCUGUGCCAGCAGCCGCGGUAAUACAGAGGUCUCAAGCGUUGUUCGGAUUCAUUGGGCGUAAAGGGUGCGUAGGUGGCGAUGCAAGUCUGGUGUGAAAUCUCGGAGCUAAACUCCGAAAUUGCACCGGAUACUGCGUUGCUAGAGGAUUGUAGAGGAGAGUGGAAUUCACGGUGUAGCAGUGAAAUGCGUAGAUAUCGUGAGGAAGACCAGUUGCGAAGGCGACUCUCUGGGCAAUUCCUGACACUGAGGCACGAAGGCCAGGGGAGCAAACGGGAUUAGAUACCCUUGUAGUCC